AGAGCUCUCCUACCGGAGGGCAGCAGUAGGAAAUUUUCGUCAAUGGGCGCAAGCCUGAACGAGCAAUGCCGCGUGAACGAGGAAGGUCUUCGGAUCGUAAAGUUCUGUUGAAGGGGAAAAAGAGCGGAGAGAGGAAAUGCUUUCUGAUUGAUAUUACCCUUCGAGGAAGUCACGGCUAACUACGUGCC
rnacentral:rRNA from 1 species